rnacentral:pre_miRNA from 7 species
CUUUAGUGAUAGUGAAAGACCCCCGAAGGGAGACCCUCACUCAAGCCUCGGGACAGCCGCGGACCCAAGAAGACACUGAGACCG